rnacentral:rRNA from 1 species
AUUGAACGCUGGCGGCAGGCUUAACACAUGCAAGUCGCACGAGUGGCGGACGGGUGAGUAUUGCUUGGGAAUCUGCCUUAUGGAGGGGGAUAACGACGGGACACUUUCGCUAAUACCGCGAACCAUCGGAUGGACCCCAGUGGGAUUAGGUAGUUGUUGGGGUAAUGGCCGACCAAGCCGACGCUCUCUAGCUGGUCUGAGAGGAUGAGAAGCCACACCGGGACUGAGACACGGCCCGGACUACUACGGGAGGCAGCAGUGGGGAAGUUUGGUAAAUGGGGGCAACCCUGACGCAGCCAUGCCGCGUGAAGGAAGAAGGCCUUCGGGUUGUAAAGUUCUUUCGGUGACGAGGCGUUAAUCACAGAAGAAGCACCGGCUAACUCCGUGCCAGCAGCCGCGGUAAUUC